rnacentral:rRNA from 1 species
CCCUUAGAUGUUCUGGGCCGCACGCGCGCUACACUGAUGCAUUCAACGAGUCUAAAACCUGCUCUGAUAGGGGUGGGUAAUCUUUUGAAUGUGCAUCGUGAUUGGGAUAGAUUAUUGCAAUUUUUCAUCUUCAACGAGGAAUGCCUAGUAAACGCAAGUCAUCAGCUUGCAUUGAUUACGUCCCUGCCCUUUGUACACACCGCCCGUCGCUCCUACCGAUUGAAUGAUCCGAUGAAUAUCAUGGAUUGAGGAUGCAAGUAGGUUCGCCUAUCUUCAUCUUCGAGAAGUGAAGUAAAUCUUAUCAUUUAGAGGAAGGAGAAGUCGUAACA